UACAGAGGGUGCAAGCGUUGUUCGGAAUCAUUGGGCGUAAAGCGCGUGUAGGCGGCCAUCUAAGUUUGGUGUGAAAGCCCAGGGCUUAACCCUGGAAGUGCACUGAAUACUGGAUGGCUAGAGGACGAGAGAGGACAAUGGAAUUCAUGGUGUAGGGGUGAAAUCCGUAGAUAUCAUGAGGAACAUCUGUGGCGAAGGCGAUUGUCUGGCUCGUUUCUGACGCUGAGACGCGAAAGCGUGGGGAGCAAACAGG
rnacentral:rRNA from 1 species